rnacentral:tmRNA from 1 species
GGGGGCGUACUUGGUUUCGACGGGGGUAUAGAAGGAAGAUAAGCGAGUCGUUGCCGCAAAACAACGUAAAAAGUUGCAACAAAAUAUAAACGCAAAAGAAAACAAUAAUUUAGCAUUCGCUGCUUAAUUGCAGCUGCUUGUUCCGCUUAGCCGGCCUGUAGGCUAAAACGGGGCAUCAUCUAAAUCAGGGAACUGCUUAAGGGGGCUUUGACCUUAGGCUGAACAACCGAAGCUAGCCGAAACUUCAGCUUGACCAUAAGCGGUAGACAAGGCGAAAUUUAAAUUAUGGUCUGCACUCGGAGAAAGUCUUGUGGAAAUAUUUUCGGACGUGGGUUCGACUCCCACCGCCUCCA